rnacentral:rRNA from 1 species
GGGGGGGGGGGGGGGGGGGGGGGGGGGGGGGGGGGCGGGGGGGGGCGGGGUGGGGGGGGGCGGUUGCGGGUGGCGGGUGGCGGACGGGGGGGGAAUGCAGCGGAGUCUACUUUUUCGUGGGGGAUAACGUAGGGAAACUUACGCUAAUACCGCAUACGACCUACGGGUGAAAGCAGGGGAUCUUCGGACCUUGCGCGAUUGAAUGAGCCGAUGUCGGAUUAGCUAGUUGGCGGGGUAAAGGCCCACCAAGGCGACGAUCCGUAGCUGGUCUGAGAGGAUGAUCAGCCACACUGGAACUGAGACACGGUCCAGACUCCUACGGGAGGCAGCAGUGGGGAAUAUUGGACAAUGGGCGCAAGCCUGAUCCAGCCAUACCGCGUGGGUGAAGAAGGCCUUCGGGUUGUAAAGCCCUUUUGUUGGGAAAGAAAAGCAGCAGGUUAAUACCCCGCUGUUCUGACGGUACCCAAAGAAUAAGCACCGGCUAACUUCGUG